CAUUCUUUGUUCACUAUUAGAAUUACUAAAUUUCAACACUGUAAGUAUUGGAGUUUGAAGAAUCUCUCUAUUCCUUCCUCUUCUACUUCCCCCAGAUAUUUAUGAAUUCUGUCAGUUAGUAUUAUUAUCUUCAUUUUAGAAGUUCUGUAAAAUGUUCUUUUUAGUUAAUUAUCUUUAUAGAAACUCUCAGCUAUAGAUUUUAAGUUUUUUCCACUCUACCAGUUAUUUUUGCUUUACAGGCUAUUGGUAAUAUUUGUUCUCUUCUCAAUUAUUCUUUCAUGUUUUUCAUUUCUCUUUCGAAUCACCAUGGAAUGUUUUAAUGCUCCAUUUCUUGGAAUCCCAUAGAAUUCUGUGUAUCAUCCAAAAUUGAUAAAACUUCCUUUGACAUAUAAUAAUUAUUUAGGAAAUCUUAUAAUUUUUUGAGGUUUUAAUACUCAUCCUUCUAAUUUUAGCAUCCAUUCUACUGGUUUAUUUUCUUGUGUACUUGCUUUUUAAUUGAAUUUUCUUCCUCUUGAAAUCUUACAUGAAUUUAUCCUCUUUUACCCCUGUAUAUUAUUUUUCACUUUCUAGCUCUCCUCCCUCACUCCUCCUUUGGAAUAUGCCAAUAAAUCUGCACUAUAAGGCUGUCUUUGCCUAUCUCUACAUCAGAGAAUUUACAUUUCACUAGCAACAGUUCCUGCUCCAAGUCUUCUGGUGGUAUAAAACUGACCCCAUUUAUCCUUCUUUACCAUUUCCUUCAGGUCUCAUGUAGCCAGUCAUACUGACUCCUUAUCAUUUUCUUUCCUUCUCUGACUAUGAUAAAUCAGCUUCUUCAACAUCGUGCAGAGAGGAAGGUAUGAGUAUUCUUGACAAAGGCUUUCUAGCUUUGUGAAUCCCUAACCCUUGGGGGGUACACCAGGUAGAAAGAAGCCUGGGUCUCUCCCCUAUGAUAACACCACACUUGCCAUGAAGAAGCAGAAUCAAAACCUAUUAUUGCAUUGAAGUAAGGGUGGGCAAAGGCUAGAUGGAGGCAACUGUAUCUGCCACUGGAAGGGAUUCCUUGAAUAAGACACAAGAGUGCUAAAUAAGCACUUUGAUUAGAAUUCUCCAACAUUAAAUUCAUAAAACUUUUGCCUUUUUGGGUUUCUGUCCUUCUAGGACUUUCCUAUUAUGUGGAUUCAACCAUAACUACUAUAGUUCUGGUGCUAUUUUGGGCAAAUAGAAGUGUUUGAGAGUUAAUAAGGUCUAGAGAAAAAUUCUAGUCUGCUAUCAUGUUUGUCACAUCCUAGACAAAUAUUCUCUUCUUGAUUUGAUUCUCUCUAUAGAAAGCCUUUAUUACUCUUACUUUGCUCCUAAUACUGUGCUAAGUACUGGAGGUAAGAGAACAGAGGGAAGGGUUUCAAGAAAAGCCCUAUGAACUAAAAUUCUGUUAAGAAAGACAGCCUACAGGAGAUAGGAAACUCUUGAGAAUGAAGUUUUGAAGACAAAGAAAAAUGCUAUUACUCGAAGAAGGAUCCAUGGGCUUCACUAGACAAAAAAAGCUAAAGAACCACUGAUAUAAAGAACAAACUUAGAAUGAAGAGGAAAACUAUGAAAUAAGUACCAAAUUCCUUGGGAAGAGGGAGAAUGACAUAUAGGUUAGUAAAUGGCUUAUUAGAAUUCAAACUAGAUUGUAAAGAUAAACGGAAUAAUUAAAAUGUGACAAUGAUGAUAAUAGAUAAUCUGGAAAAAAGCCUUUGCUUUUUCACCAGAUUACAAAAAUCUCAACUUUCCACUUUUUUAUCCCCUUUUUUAAUAAUUCUUUUUAAAAAUAACUUUUCAUGAAUUCAGUGUCUUCAUAUCUUCUAGGAAAAAACCCAAAGCACACAAAGUUCUCUAGUAAUAUCCUGACCACUUUUUGUGCAUAGUAUACUUACUACAAUUUUCUGGAUUGCUAAAGGAACCUGAAAUAAUUAAUCUUAAAAAGAAAAACCUUUAGCCUUAUAACCAAAAGUUCUCUCAUAUUACUGUUCUUGUUUAAAAUGCAUGUGAAUAUCCAACAAAAGUUCUAAGUUUUAAAGACUAUUGUAUUUCUUCAGUGCUUUACAUAUAAUUUUAAAGAAAUAGACUAAGACCUUAAUCUGUUAACUCCUGUCUGACUUUAAAAGUCUAUCAAGUAUAUAUGUAGAACAUGGCCCUUGACCUAAGAAACUAAUAUGUGUACAGACACAAAUUGGGAAUUGAUAAUGUGGAAGCAAAGGGAAAGAGGGCACUAAUUUCAAUAUAAAAAAAUUACAUCUAGCCCUUAUGUUUUACAUUAUUUUACUCCAGAUUUUGGAUAAGACUCAUUAAAAGAUUUCUCCCUGUUUUGAACCCCUGAUGUCAACUAACAUAUUAGGAAUAUCAUGCCCCACCCUCAGUGCAACAAACUAGUCCAAAAGCCAAAGGCUAAUCAAUUGUGAACCUAGCAUAAACUGUGUACUAUAAGUAUCUUUGGCUCAUCUUCAGAAACCUCUAUGCAUAGGUACAAAAAGAAACUUUUCUUUUUCUUUUAAACCUUACCUUCUUCUGUCUUGGUAUUGUGUAUUGGUUCCAGGACAGAAGAGUGGUAAGGGCUAGGCAAUGGGGGUUAAGUAACUUGCCCAGGGUCACACAGCUGGGAAGUGUCCAAGAUCAGAUUUGAACCUAGGACCUCCUGUCUCUAGGCCUGGCUCUCAAUCCACUGAGCUACCAAGCUGCUCCCCAAAGAGAAACUUUUAACUACUCACAAAACCUGUCAUGUAUGAUUGCUAAACCACAGAAAACAAGAGAGGUACUAUAGGACAAGAAAAAGGCAAAUAUUCCAGUUUAAAAAAAAAAAAGAAAAGAAAAGAACAUCUGUAAACUAUAUAGACCAGUAAGUUUGAAUUCAAUUAUGAGGAAACAAAUGUUGAACAGAUCAUUAAAAACAGUUACUGAACAUCUAAAAAGGGAAUAUUGAUUACAAAAAACUGACAUAGUUUUAAGAAGGUACCAUGCCAAACUAUCCAAUUUCCCUUUUUGACAGGAAUGCUAAAUUGAUAAAGGGAAUGCUAUAAUUGUUUAAAUUAAAUUUAAUUUAAACAUUUAAUGAAAUGAUUCAUACUCUUUUUUUGGCAAAGAUGUGUACUGAUGAAUACUAGAAUUAGAUGGGUUCCAAACUAGAUGAAUGGCUACUCCCAGAGUAUUCAGUAAUGGUUCAAUAUUAAUAUGGUAGUUGGAUUCUAGUAAAUGGUAUCCAUAAGCUAUGCUUUACCCUAUAUUAACCAAUGAAUAUUUUUAUUAAUUAUUUGGAUGAUGGCAUGUUCAUCAAAUUUUCAGCUGACAAAAGUAAAAAGUAUAAUUAAUAGUCUAGAUAGCAGAGUUAGAAUCCAAAAUUAUUUUAAUAUACUAGAACAUUGGACUGAAUUAAAGAUGAAAUUCAAUAAGGAUAAAAGAUACUUAGGUUAUAAAAAUAAACUUCACGAGUGCAGGACAUAGGGUUGAGACCUACAGGUCUACAAUUAAUCAGCCAUGCAAUUAUGGCAGUGAAGAAAACUAAUGGAUCUUGAGCUAUAUCAAGAGAAAUAGGUUCCAGGAAAAAGGAGACAGUAAAUGCUUCUGUACUUUAUUCUACUCAGACAUUUAGGCUGUUGUGUUCAAUUGUAGGCACCAAAGAUUAAGAAGGCUCUUGGUGAGAUGAAGAUGUCCAAAAGAGAGAAACAAAAAUGAUAAAGAGACUUGGGUCUAUGCCCCAUUGGCUUCAGAUGAAGGAAAUUAUAUUUAUCCCAGAGAACAGAAUACUUGGAAGGAACAAAGUACUCGUACUAAUUUUUUUAAGGAUUUCCAUAUGAAAGAGGAAUUAAACUGUAAUAAUCAGAAGUCAUCAAAUGAGGUUUUCUCUGCUAAUGUCUUUGAAGAAACUGUUUAGAAUUUUCACCUACGAAUGAAAGACCCCAAAAGGGCCUUCAUAUUUAUUAAGUAUGGACUGUUUAUGAGUAUUCAAUUCACCGAAGUGCGAAAGCAGUAAUGAAAUACAUUUUGGAGAACUACAACAUAUGUUGUUGGUAUCUUUGUGUUUUUCAGUCACAUUAUUUUCUGUUCUGUUAAGCAUUUUACAAAAUUAUAUGGUUCUCAUUUAGAACCAUUGUUAGAAAGGUCCUUGUUUUUCAGUUCCUUUUGGUAAAGUAAACCAAGCAGCAGUUUGACUGGUAAUUAAUAAAGUAUGCUUAUUUAAACCUUCAUUAAAGAACAAUCAAAA